GCAAUGAAUUAUAAAAGAUAAUAGGUAAGGGUAGAUUUCUUGGAAGCACAGCACCACAAACACAGCCUCAAAGCCACGCAUUUGCAAAGUAAGCCCACAACAUAUAGAAACUGUUACGGAAAAAAUAUUACAGAUAGGUUGCUUCAAAAAUCCAACAAGUAUAAAAUGUUUAAUGAGUUUAAAUAAAAGUCUACAAUAUAUAUAAAAAAGAUAAAUAAUUUUUUAACACGAAUAUCAUUUAGUGCUGGUUUGUGACGCAUUUACACUUUUGACACAGCAGGAUAUACCGUCAUAUUUUACGCGGAUGCCAAGCAUGUUCAAGCUAAUAGAACUGUUUUGAAGCACUUAUAAGACAUUAUUACAUCAUCUAUCAAAGCAAAUCUUUUAACCCUUACACUGCUAUAUUUCUAUAAUGAACUUGCAUGUCCAUCUUUCAAUUAGAACAGUACCAUUAACUGUUAAAAGGGAUGUUUACCAAAAAUAUACUGGCUGAAUGGCGAACAGUGCAGAUCAUGAUUAGACAGCACGAAUAUGCAGGCUGAGCAUGAUCUACACUGGUCGCAAAGGCAGAAUUAAUCGUGUCCAGCCUGGUACAUGGCCGAGCAAGUUGGAGCACUUGAACAAAGUUGGACUGUACUAUAUUUCGCUGAACAACCAUUAAGUUAUAUAUAAAUAUUUAUUGGUACAUUUCAGUAUCAAAACUUUCAAAACAGCAACAUCUAAAUUAAAGAUACAUGUUUUUUCUUCAAAAUCAUGUAAACUACGUAAAUGAUGUGAAUCAUAAGGGUAUUUUUUCUUAUUUUUAACAGAGUUCGCUCAUCUGACUUUGACUGUUUCACCUAAAUUCUGUAUGACACGUUAGAUCAUAAAUGGUUAGAUCUGCAGCUCUGGCGGCCACUUUGUGAAGCGAAGCGGAACGUGCCGGCGAUAUGCACAACUAGACCUGGUACUGAUCACUCCUGUAAAGUUUCGUCGAAAUGCAGCCAGCAGUUUGACCUGCGAAAGCGACAAGCUUAUUGCGGACGGACAGACGGACGGCGAAGGCAAAAACAAUAUGUCUCCCAUCUACGGGGAAGACAUAAUUCCUGAAAUUAUGUAAUAAAGGUUUCAUUACAACAUUAAUGUUUCAACUUACUCGUAUAUCGUAACAAUGUCCUAGAUGGAGAAAAUUCAUUAUAAGUCAAAUCAUUCAAAGGGCCAUGACUUGAAUAUUUUAUCACGUGUGAUCCAGUAUAUUAAAUCAAAAUGUGUGAAAUGUGUACGACAGUCUGUAUUGAAGGUUUGUGGCUGUAGAGCAACAAGGAAAAUGGUUGGAUUUUUCGUUGCCAGGCGCUGUUGCCAUGCAGAUAACGGUUUCAAUCUUAGCGCAAGCUUAAAGUAAAUAAUAAAACUUUGCACUCAUUGCAUCUUUGAGCACGCGUUGACUCUGACUAUAUAUUUACUGAGAAACAAAUGGAUGCCAAAUUCUACUCAAGUAAAUACAAUAAAGGUUUUGUACCCGC